AUGAAGAACUCUCUAUUGCAAAUAAAUAUUUACUGUAAUAAUCAUUAUCAUUCGCAAAAGAUUCGCAUAAAAAAAAGAUCUUUCAGAAAUAAUAUAAAUAGAUAAUAAGACCAAUCGUUUGCAAUAUAAGAUACGGCGAAUAUCUGUAUAUAAGACGGUGGUAUGCAACAAAAUGCGUGAGCUUUGCAAAAUGAAUGGAUGUUGUAUCAGCAAUUUCAGUAAGGUUGCACGUCGUUCGUAGCCUCAUCGAAGACAGUCGUUCGUGUUCUUAACGAAAUUUAAGAUCGAUCGAUCAUUGACUUUUAUACAAAAAAAAAAAAAUAGAGUAAUUCUUGCAUGGUGCAUCCAUUAUGGUAAAGUCAAAAAGCCGAUGACAAAAGGGCGUUGAAUUUCAUGUCAUGGAGGAACAGUCAGCUCUCUAUGAUUCACGUGGAUGAGUUUUCAGCAAAAACCUUACUGUGAUAGCAUAGUAAUGCGAUUCCAAUGUUGAACAUCUUUCAAUAGAAAUCGAUCGGUACCUUGUUUUUAAAAUCAUGCGCGCCCGUUGUUGCUCCAUCACGUUCGCAUAAUUAUCGUUACCGCUUUUAACCAAUAUUUAUAACUUGACUGUCGCUUCACUAUUAAAAUCUAGUAAUCUAAAGCAUACAAUAUGUCUGGUUCAUAUAUAUACAUGACUCAUUUUUGAACUCCGAAAAAUAUGAGAAAAUUAUUCGUCUAAACAUUACUCGAUUUGAAUA